rnacentral:rRNA from 1 species
UACGUAGGGGGCAAGCGUUGUCCGGAUUUAUUGGGCGUAAAGAGCGUGUAGGCGGCUUGGCAAGUCCGCUGUGAAAACUCGAGGCUCAACCUCGAGACGUCGGUGGAAACUGCCUCGCUAGAGUCCGGAAGAGGAGAGUGGAAUUCCUGGUGUAGCGGGUGAAAUGCGCAGAUAUCAGGAAGAACACCCGUGGCUAAGGCGGCUCUCUAGUACGGUACUGACGCUGAGACGCGAAAGCGUGGGGAGCGAACAGG